AAAUAGUAAACAAAGCAAAUGGCGUCAAACGGAUGAAGCUCUCUCUCGUUAGAAAUUAAAAGGAUGUGUGGCUAGUGCUCCCUUGCUGUCGGGCUUCUGAUUGCACUCCCAACACUGGCAAAUGACAGGGUUCAGUUUUUUCCCCAUGUACAUCAGUAACACAACAAUGAAGAAAAGCCAAGACUAAGAGGUGACAAGUUUGAUCCUGUUGCAGUAAUCCGCAUCCACAUUAUCAACACAAUGUCCUUUCGAUAUUUUGUGAAAGAAUGCACUUCAAGAUUGUAGAUACCGGAAUGUAGCUGUAAAAGAAAAAAGAAGUAAUAAUAUUUUAGACUGAUUAUAAAAUGUACACAUAAAUAAUGUGGUGUGUCUAUAUAGGUCUAAAUUGAAUUUUACAUACAUGUAUUUUUGAAAUAAUAUUUACAAGAUGUAAGCUUAUCCAUUGAAGUUGCAGUAUGAUUCCACUUGACACCAGCAUCAAAAAUCAAAACAUGCUAUUUUAUAGCAUCAAGAAACCCAACAAAUUUGUGUCAUGAAAUUAAAUGAUGAAUAUUUACCCUGAAAUUUCACCUUAAUAUGACUAGCAAGACAA